ensembl:lncRNA
GAGAGACAAAUCCGACCAUCUGGACUCUGGUCCCGUUGGCAGCGUCAGUCAGCCGGCCAUCGAGCCCAGUCAUCCUUCCCGCAGGGCCUCCAGCCAGUCCACCCCUCUGCAUCCUCUUCAUCCCCGCAGUAGCAGAAGGAGGUUGGAGCUGGGAAAGUCCCACAGCAGCAGCCUGAGCAGCCUGGGAGAGGUUACAACGUUGGAAAAGAGGAACGCCAAACCCCAAACCGGGAGUACCGGAGGGCUUUCUCAGGUCCGUUUUAUAUCGCCAACAUUGAGUUCAGUCACAUGGCUCAGUGAGGCACUGCUUAUUGUUUGGUGAAGAUUUUACUUUUCAAAUUCUGAAACGUUUUCUCAUUUUAUUUUUUUAGAGACUUUCUACAUAAUGUGUAGAGCGGUUAAUUAACACUGGAACAAAAUAAAUCUGUAUAAAACUUUGAUAUGUUUAAGAUGCAUUAGAAAAGGGUGGAAAUAUGGUUCUAUUGCCUUUAACUUACAUCGUAGGUUUUGUAUUUCAGUACUUUACCAAAGUAGCUUUUCAAGCUACUAGACGAGCAGCGUCUUGGAACCAGUGUCAGAGCCUCCAUGGUGGUGUUUAUAAAAGCCUGGCUUUGCAUACCUUCUGUACUCUAUUGUGUUUACCAGGAUGGGGUCAUCUCCCCGGAGACGGACAGUGGGUUUGUCUGUUCGGAGAGCAGCCGGCCGACUCCAGCAGCAGCUCUCAGUUCUCUCCACCAGAGGGCCUCGCAGAGUGUUUUAGUGCCUCAGGAGGGGAACCUGGGAAACCCUGUCAUACAUCCAGUUCCGUCAACGUCUCACGGUCAUGCAGCUGUGGACCCCAGAAGUGACCCUCAGGUCAGCCGUGACCAGCAGAGGAGAACCAGACAAGGGCCGAGGAGACGCUCUUCUUCGUGCUCUCUACAGCACCGCGCCCGCCAGACGCAACGAACCAGGGCCGACAGCGGGACCAGUGACUUUGGGUUGGAAAGUGACAGAUCUCACACUGCGUCUGAAGACGGACCGAAUGAUCAGUACACAGAAUCUCUCAAUUCCCUCCACCACUCCAGCCGCAGCUCGUCCCCCACCGCAACGCAUCGCCAUGGGGAUUCUCUCCUAUCACUGCGCUCGAGUCAGAACCCCAGUGACGCAAUCCAGAGGCUGCAGGUCGAGGUGAUCAGACUAAGGAACACACUUGAAAGCUAUGUGAGGAAUCCGACGCCUCUGAGCUCUGCGAGUCCAGCAGCUCCAGCUCAGGAGAACUACACCCUCCACAACUCCGCUCCACCUCGCUUCAGGUCUGUGGAGCAGUGGGGUGAGGUCAGCCGGGGAAGAAGAGAUGGGAGGACUGUUGAUGAGUCUACACUGAGACAAAUGACCAGGAAGAGACCAUCUUCUGAAACCAGACAAAAGCCACAACUGGACAUCUUGAGCGGUCUGGAGCCCUCUUCACCCAAUCCUCCACCUCUGGUGUCCAGGUGUACUCAAACAUCCACUGCUGCACCAGACAGCUGUUCCCACAGUGCCGUCUGCAGCAGGACUCACUCCAGGCAGCAUCUGGGUGCAUCUGAAACAGCAGAUGGAGCCGACAGCAGAGGGCGACGCGCUCCUCUUUGUCCUCAGUGUUUGUCGCGUCACCAAGGGCGAUCUGACAGUACGGAGCCUCCUUUCAAUCCAGCGAAAUUUUUGUUUAGUGUUUUCUUUCAUAUGAUUACCUGCAUGUAA